rnacentral:rRNA from 1 species
GAUGAACGCUGGCGGCGUGCCUAAUACAUGCAAGUCGAGCGAACAGACGAGGAGCUUGCUCCUCUGACGUUAGCGGCGGACGGGUGAGUAACACGUGGAUAACCUACCUAUAAGACUGGGAUAACUUCGGGAAACCGGAGCUAAUACCGGAUAAUAUAUUGAACCGCAUGGUUCAAUAGUGAAAGACGGUUUUGCUGUCACUUAUAGAUGGAUCCGCGCCGCAUUAGCUAGUUGGUAAGGUAACGGCUUACCAAGGCAACGAUGCGUAGCCGACCUGAGAGGGUGGUCGGCCACACUGGAACUGAGACGCGGUCCAGACUCCUACGGGAGGCAGCAGUAGGGAAUCUUCCGCAAUGGGCGAAAGCCUGACGGAGCAACGCCGCGUGAGUGAUGAAGGUCUUCGGAUCGUAAAACUCUGUUAUUAGGGAAGAACAAAUGUGUAAGUAACUAUGCACGUCUUGACGGUACCUAAUCAGAAAGCCACGGCUAACUACGUG